GUGGGUGGAAUAAUAUAACAAU
rnacentral:miRNA from 1 species